UACGAAGGGUGCAAGCGUUAAUCGGAAUUACUGGGCGUAAAGCGUGCGUAGGCGGUGAGUUAAGUCUGUCGUGAAAUCCCCGGGCUCAACCUGGGAAUGGCGAUGGAUACUGGCUCGCUAGAGUGUGAUAGAGGAUGGUGGAAUUCCCGGUGUAGCGGUGAAAUGCGUAGAGAUCGGGGAGGAACAUCAGUGGCGAAGGCGGCCAUCUGGAUCAACACUGACGCUGAGGCACGAAAGCGUGGGGAGCAAACAGG
rnacentral:rRNA from 1 species